UACGAAGGGGGCUAGCGUUGUUCGGAUUUACUGGGCGUAAAGCGCACGUAGGCGGAUUGGUCAGUUAGGGGUGAAAUCCUGGAGCUCAACUCCAGAACUGCCUUUAAUACUGCCAGUCUCGAGUCCGGAAGAGGUAAGUGGAACUCCUAGUGUAGAGGUGGAAUUCGUAGAUAUUCGGAAGAACACCAGUGGCGAAGGCGGCUCACUGGACUGGUAUUGACGCUGAGGUGCGAAAGCGUGGGGGAGCAAACAGGAUUAGAA
rnacentral:rRNA from 1 species